UGACAAAAGAAAGCAACAUGGUCAAGAGUCAAAGGAGGAAAAGAAAGAAAGAAAGGCUGCUGUGAAGGAAGAACGGCGUGAGGCACGUCGUAUGAAAAAAGAGACAAAGGUGCUAUAUAAGUGUGAAGCACAUCGUGCUCAGAAGGUUGCUGCUUUUACUGGACCAUCUGCCAUACAUCUCAUGUGACAUCGUUUUGGUUAUGUGUACUUUAAAGUCGAGCAAUUGUCGAUCCUCUUUUGUGCGCCCGAAGUGGGACCUCUUGAUUGGCACGUCCUCUUCAAUUAAAAAGAUGAUGUUCGAAAGCUUUUCUCCUCUUAGAUGGUAUAUAAUACAUGAUAGUUCCUCAAGACAGUUCUCAGCUUCGUAAACGGAUGUGCGUGGUCAAGCAGAGUUGCAGCUUGAUGCAUUUUUGUUUAAUUAAUUGGUGGAAUGCAGAGUGUUGACAUGCUAUAUAGCUUGCUUACAGUUUAUGAUGUUAUUGGAGUUUUAACGUUCUCAUUAGCUUUUUUAACAGUUCGCAAAAUGUCCUGCAUUUAAUUUUGAAUGAGUUUCAUUCCUCUGAAGUUUAUCAUUGUGGAUUGGAAUUGGAUCCUUGGAAUUCCUCUGUUCUUCUAGUGCUCAGCUAUAUUUGCAAUAUGUUUAUUCAUUAUAAAAAUUUGAAGUA